UGUUGUGUUUUUUGUACUAUUACUUGUCUGUUUGUCUUUCUAUUUUUUAGCAAUAGCAUUGUCAGUGUAUUUUCGGUUUAUGAGUUUGUCUGUCCCUCUGGUAUCUUUCGCCCCUCUUUUAUGUUGGCUUCGAGUGUCCUUGGAUUUGAAAAUUUUAAAUUAUCAUCAUUGUACCAAGCACAUUUAAGAAGUUACCGUUAAAUUAUUUUGUCAAGGAUUAUCACGAAUUAAAUAUUAUUUGGAUUCUGAUCUAAAUGAUUCAAGUU
rnacentral:lncRNA from 1 species